UUUCUGUGACGCGGGCCUGGUCCAUGCGACACGUCCACGCGGAAGUGAGCCGCGCAGCCCCCGACAGGCCGACACUGUGCUGCACUACUCCCACCGUGACCGCUGCAGGCGCACCUACCAAACCAACACGGCAACACCCAUUCCGGCAGCGGCAGGCAUCUCCUCUCCCGCCCCGCCCCGAGCAACGCCCGCUAGGCUCAGGCUGCUGCUACCCGCAGUCCCCAUCCACCCUACCCGCAGUCCCCACCGCAACCGCCGCCUCGGCCCGGGCUGUGUUGACCCCCGUUGACCUCCGCCAGCCCGGCCGUCAUGGACCUGCGCUUCCCGCCGCCGGCGCCGUCGUCCUGCUUCGGCGGGGGCGGUGUGCUCCCGGCACGGGGGCACCACCGGCGGGCGCAAUCGGAGACGUUCAUCCGGCUGCCCGACGCGGACCUCCUGCUGGACCCGGAUGCCGACUUCGGCUUCUCCGACAUCGACUUCCCCUCGCUGUCCGACGACUCGCCCGCGGCGUCCGACCCGACGCCGCAGCCGCAGGCCCCGCCACCCCAGCAGCCGCUUCCGCAGGCGGCUUCGCCGGCGUCUGCGGCGCCGCCGAGGCCGCCGAGCGGAGCGCACAUGCGGAGCCUCUCCCUCGACGCCGCCUUCUUCGACGGCCUCUCGCUACAGGGAGGCGGGGGCGUGGCGGGGCACAAGAGGAGCGGCUCUAUGGACGGGGCCACCUCGCCGUUCGAGGGCGAGUCCGCGCCGACGUCCGUGCUGCCGGACUACGCCAAGAAGGCCGUGCCCGACGACAGGCUCGCCGAGCUCGCGCUCCUCGACCCCAAGCGCGCCAAGAGGAUCCUGGCGAACCGGCAGUCUGCGGCGAGGUCCAAGGAGAGGAAGAUCAAGUACACCAGUGAGCUGGAGAGGAAGGUGCAGACGCUGCAGACAGAGGCCACCACACUUUCGGCACAGCUCACGCUUCUUCAGAGGGACACCUCUGGUUUAACCACUGAGAACAGGGAGCUGAAGCUCCGGCUGCAGGCCAUGGAAGAACAAGCUAAACUCCGAGAUGGUACGUAGUCUUUCUCCGGAAGGUCUUGAGCCACUAUCAUACCAGGCCCAGAAAGCGACUCACUUUCCCUGUUUCAAGAUCAUUACAAGGCAAACGAUAUCAACCGAUCACUCUAAAUGACGCCCUGAGAGAAGAAGUCCAGCGGCUUAAGAUAGCCACAGGGCAGGUCCCUAACAUAAACGGGAAUCCCUUCAACGGAGGACUACCCCAGCAGCAGCAGGUGCCGAGCUAUUUCUCACAACCACAGGGGAUGCAAUACUUCAGCAGCCACCAGGGCCAGCAUCAGCAUCCGAACCAUCACCCUCAGAGUUCUUCAAACGGUGGUGGCCAGUCCUUGAGUGACUCCAUGGAUUUCAUGUGAGGACCGAAGGAGAGACAGCUCAGGAGUUGCCUGAGAUCACAUACCAACUAAAGUACUGUAAAAAGGUUGCUGAUGUAUACCAUAUUCAGUAUUAUUAUGAUACGCGUCAUUGUAGGUUAGCUAGCUGUUCCUUGUACCAUUAAUCAGAAGUUCAUUCAUGCAUGAAUUGACAACCUGUCAUUGCUUUCGUUUCUGGGGUUCAAGUAAAAUCGUUUGACUGCUUGACGAGUUCAGUGUCGGUGUUGCCAUGUAAAGUCGUUCUUGUAAUAGUGAAUGAAUAGUUCCCGGUUGGAACUAGUGGUUUUUUACACUGCUGAAAGCCAUCGUGGUUGGCAAUAA